AAAAUUUCCGGAGGUAUACGAUGGACCCGCGUCUGAUUAGCCAGUUGGCAGGGUAACGGCCUACCAAAGCAACGAUCAGUAGCCGGCCUGAGAGGGUGGACGGCCACAUUGGGACUGAGACACGGCCCAAACUCCUGCGGGAGGCAGCAGUGGGGGAUAUUGCACAAUGGGGGAAACCCUGAUGCAGCGACGCCGCGUGAGUGAAGAAGCAUUUCGGUGUGUAAAGCUCUAUCAGCAGGGAAGAAGAAUGACGGUACCUGACUAAGAAGCCCCGGCUAACUACGUGCCAGCAGCCGCGGUAAUACGUAGGGGGCAAGCGUUAUCCGGAUUUACUGGGUGUAAAGGGAGCGUAGACGGCAAUGCAAGCCAGAUGUGAAAACCCGCAGCUCAACUGGGGGAGUGCAUUUGGAACUGUGUAGCUGGAGUGCAGGAGAGGUAAGCGGAAUUCCUGGUGUAGCGGUGAAAUGCGUAGAUAUCAGGAGGAACACCAGUGGCGAAGGCGGCUUACUGGACUGUAACUGACGUUGAGGCUCGAAAGCGUGGGGAGCAAACAGGAUUAGAUACCCUGGUAGUCCACGCUGUAAACGAUGAAUACUAGGUGUCGGGGGUUUACGGACGCCCG
rnacentral:rRNA from 1 species